AUUGAACGCUGGCGGCAGGCCUAACACAUGCAAGUCGAGCGGAUGAAGGGAGCUUGCUCCUGGAUUCAGCGGCGGACGGGUGAGUAAUGCCUAGGAAUCUGCCUGGUAGUUGUGGAUAACGUCCGGAAACGGGCGCUAAUACCGCAUACGUCCUUAGGACGAAAGGGUGAGAUCUUCGGACCUCACGCUAUCAGAUGAGCCUAGGUGGGAUUGUCUGGUUGGUGGGGUAAAGGCCUACAAAGCCAACGAGCCGUAACUGGUCUGAGAGGAUGAUCAGCACACCUGGACCUGAGCAACGGUCCAGACCCCAAGGGGAGGCAGCAGUGGGGAUUUUUGGCAAAUGGGCGAAAGCCUGACCAAGCCAUGCGGCGUGGGUGAAGAAGGUCUUCGGAUUGUAAAGCAUUUUAUGUUGGGAGGAAGGGAAGUAAGUUAAUACCUGGCUGUUUGGACGUUACCAACAGAAUAAGCACCGGCUACCUCCGU
rnacentral:rRNA from 1 species